CCUGAGUUCAGGAAAGAGACAUUAUAUCAUACUCAUCCCAAAAACUCAGUAGUUUGUUGCUGAGACAUUGUUAUCCCUUUGGAAGUCAGGAUUGCCAGUUCAGCGCUUGGGAAGUCAUUUAAUUUCUCCAGGGAUGUUCUCUAUAAUAGUCCCCUAGCAACAACAACAACAUCACCAUCACCAUCACUGUCAUUUACAUGCUGCAUAAUGGAGAUUCACUGAGCAUCUUCUGAGCAGAGAGGAGACCCAAGCAAAAAAAGAAAGAGAACUAAGCCUGAGACUUUCUGAAGCUUGUUAAAAAGUACAAUAAAAAAAAACAAAAGUGAUCAUUAGUAGGGCAUUUAUUAUGUGAUAGUCAAGGAACUAAACACUUUUUAUCCACUGUGUCUUCUUCAGUUCUCCCACCAGCCAUCCUAUGAGGAAGAUGCUAUUACUACCUCACAUUUUAGAAAUCAGAUAACUAAGGAUUAGAAAAUAAAAUUACUUGUUUAAUGUCACGCUGCUAGAAGUGGCAGAGCUCUCAGUGCCAAGCCUGCAACCUCCACAAAGAGGAGAAGAAAUAGUGUACCUCUUUCAUUCACCCAAAUCCCAGCCCUCAGGUGUAAGAGAGGCCAGAAAACUUGCCAAGUCUGAUAACUCAAGGAAGUCUCAUUUUCUGAUUUUUUGUAAUGUAGAGUCUACGCUUCUUUCCUUUCCCUCACAAAGCAUCCUCACCAUCUACUCAGAAGGUAAAGACAGUUAACUACUAAGCAAAACAGAAGUCAGGUAAAUAAAUUUUUAAAGAUGAUAUAGCCUUAUUUUUAGUAAGUAUUUUUCUUGGGGUUAAUGGGCACAAUCUUGGUCUGGGAAUAAAGCCACGUAAUUAAAAGAUUCCCUUGCCUCUUUAAUUUUUUUUCUUUUUUCAUUGUAUCAAAGACAGUAGAUACAAAAGAAAGACACUUAGAAGGAGCCAGCGGUGUGUCUGUCAUCAGCCUGAAAGCUGGGAUUGUAGACCCCAAGUUGCAGACAGAGUACGGCGUGUGAUUAAGGGAAUGUCCUGCCUCUUUGAUGUGAGUCCAAGGCAGAGGAGUUCCACCAGAGAAAAAGGUGGGAGCUCAGGGGCUUGCCUUGAAUAGGCAACAAAAUCAGAUGAAUAGCUGAAAGUAGCUAACUUUGGCAGAAGACAUGGUACAAAAAGGCCUUCAUCACAGCACGGCAAAAUGCACCACAUAGAAGGCCUACCUCUUUAUAAAGACACAAGCUCAGCUGAUGUGCAUGAUUCUGGCAACUGACACAGAAAGAAUGUUUGUCCUUAAGCUGAAAUUUGAAACAAAUGUUCACUCUUUUCUCCAAGGCACACUCAGGAAAGAUAUUGUGAUCUUUCUUUCCAUGUAUAAGGAAAAGGAAGCAUACAAACAGAAUGAUGUUUGUCCCAAGCCCACAUAACAGUCAGUAUCAGGAAGACAAUAAAAAUAUAUGUGCCUCUGGCUCCCAGAAUACUGGAAUAUUUGGAAAAUAACAAGGUGAAGCUUGCCACCUAUUUCCUUUCUGUGAGUCAAAAAUAGAAAAUGCAAAAUUAUGACAUAGACUCCAUUCUAAUAAUACAAACACCAACUCUAUAUUUUAUGCUUAUAUAAAAAUUAAACAUUAAAUUUAAAUAUUUAAAUUCCCUCUAUGGAUUGCCAUGUGAAUAAUAUAUUUAAAGGUGCUAAUGCAUGAUAUAAGCAUAAUAAUUACCUAAUAAUUAAUAUCACAAAUUCUUGUUUAUUUUAUGAUCAGAUCCUUCUAGUGGCCAUUUUGGCUAUUGUGUGAAUAUCUUUAAUAUAACAAAUAGUUUUAAUAAGCCAUUUAUUGUCAUAUAAUUAUUCAUAAUAAAGAAUCACUGAGUAUUUAACUAUGUAUCAGAAAAUGUAAUGAAUACAAAUCUACCCUCACUUGGCCCUGAAAUUUCUUGAAAUCGAAAUGUCUUCAAAGUUACU
rnacentral:lncRNA from 1 species